GCCGGGUGUGGUGGUGCAUGCCUGUAAUCCCAGCGGCUUGGGAAGCCGAGACAGGAGGAUUACAAGUUCAAAGCCAGCCUCAGCAAUGGCGAGGCGCUAAGUAACUCAGUGAGACCCUGUCUCUA
rnacentral:sRNA from 1 species